rnacentral:rRNA from 1 species
CGCGGCCUAUCAGCUUGUUGGUGAGGUAACGGCUCACCAAGGCAUCGACGGGUAGCUGGUCUGAGAGGACGAUCAGCCACACUGGGACUGAGACACGGCCCAGACUCCUACGGGAGGCAGCAGUAGGGAAUCUUGCGCAAUGGGCGAAAGCCCGACGCAGCAACGCCGCGUGGGGGAUGAAUGCCUUCGGGUUGUAAACCCCUUUCAGCAGGGACGAAAAUGACGGUACCUGCAGAAGAAGCUCCGGCCAACUACGUGCCAGCAGCCGCGGUAAUACGUAGGGAGCGAGCGUUGUCCGGAAUUAUUGGGCGUAAAGAGCUCGUAGGCGGUUCGGUAAGUCGGGUGUGAAAACUCAAGGCUCAACCUUGAGACGCCACUCGAUACUGCUGUGACUUGAGUCCGGUAGAGGAGUGUGGAAUUCCUGGUGUAGCGGUGAAAUGCGCAGAUAUCAGGAGGAACACCAGCGGCGAAGGCGGCACUCUGGGCCGGUACUGACGCUGAGGAGCGAAAGCAUGGGGAGCAAACAGGAUUAGAUACCCUGGUAGUCCAUGCCGUAAACGUUGGGCACUAGGUAUGGGAUCAUGUCAACGGAUUCCGUGCCGUAGCUAACGCAUUAAGUGCCCCGCCUGGGGAGUACGG